rnacentral:rRNA from 1 species
UACAGAGGGUGCAAGCGUUGUUCGGAAUUAUUGGGCGUAAAGCGCGUGUAGGCGGCUUUGCAAGUUGGGUGUGAAAUCCCUCGGCUCAACCGAGGAAGUGCGCCCAAAACUGCAUGGCUUGAGUCUCGGAGAGGAUGGCGGAAUUCCCCAAGUAGAGGUGAAAUUCGUAGAUAUGGGGAGGAACACCGGUGGCGAAGGCGGCCAUCUGGACGAAGACUGACGCUGAGACGCGAAGGCGUGGGGAGCAAACAGG